rnacentral:lncRNA from 10 species
GUCCAUUUGACUGACUCCAUUUGCUCACUAUCUCCCUUGCCUGGCACAUUUCUAAUAAACUAAGCUUCCUUAGUUAUUGUUAUUUGUUAUUUGUUUGUUCUAUGUUUUAACCAUAACAGAUUUCUUUGCUGCUCUUUUAUGAGAAACUUUCUUUUUUUUUGAGACAGAGUCUCACUCCGACGGGGUUUCACCAUGUUGGCCAGGCUGAUCUCAAACUCCUGACCUCAAGUGAUCCGCCCGCCUCAGCCUCCUAAAGUGCUAGGAUUACAGGUGUAAGCCACCGGGCCUGGUCUUUUAUUUAUUUAUUUUUUUGAGAUGGAGUCUCGCUCUGUCACCCAGGCUGGAAUGCAGUGGCGCUCUCGGCUCACUGUAACCUGCACCCCCUGAGUUCAAGUGAUUCUCCUGCCUCAGCCUCCUGAGUAGCUGGGACUACAGGCGACCGCCACCAUGCCCAGCUAAUUUUUGUAUUUUCAGUAGAGAUGGGGUUUUACCAUGUUAGCCAGGAUGGUCUCGAUCUCUUGACCUUGUGAUACACCUCCCUCGGCCUCCCAAAGUGAGUGAGGGAGCCACCGCGCCCAACCGGCACCUGGUCUUUUAUGAGAAGCUUUGACUGAACAUGAGUUAGUUUUCUUUCAUCCACAUAGUAUUCUGUUUCUCCAAGGUGCUUUCCCUGCUUGUGUGCUUUUUGUCUUGCAUGAUAGAGGCUUACUUUAGAGUUCUGGUAAUUUUUGGUUUCUUACGAUGAGGAAUGAAGGACUACAGCUGAUUGGAAGUUUGCAGUAUAUGGAGAGCUCUUGUAUUUCUGAGUUUACUGUAGGGCCAUUUAUUUGUUGGGUAAUCUUAUCAGUUUCUCUUCUUUCCUCUUGGGCUGCUUUGAUUCCUGAGAGAAAGGUGUGACAAUCCCCUUCCUAGAGGGUAAAGAUCUGGCUGACAUGGUUUGGGCACUAAAUGAUUGAUGAAGGCUGUGAGGCAGGAGGCAGGGGCUUAGCAAUCAGCAAGCAUGUGAUUGUGUAAACCUCCAUUUUUGUUUGGUAUCAAAGCUCUCAGCUGUACUUGAUGUUUCCCAGUCCACAGACUCCAACUUCUGCUGAAACUAGGGAGAAACAGUCAUCCAGCAGCAUGAGAGCAGGUAGAAGAUCUGGGUCUGUUUGUGAUUCUACAAUAUAAUCAUUUCUGUUUUCAAUUUUUCUCUACUGUUGCCACAUAAUUCAGCUUUCUCAGUUCUUCUGAGUUAGUCUGCAAUCAUCUCUUUGCUUUUUAGCUUUCAAAGGUUUAUCAUCGGCCAGGUGCAGUGUGGCUCAUGCCUGUAAUCCCAGCAUUCGGGAGGCUGAGGCAGGCAGAUCACCUGAGGUCAGGAGUUCGAGACCAUCCUGGCCAACAUGGUGAAACCCCGUCUCUACUAAAAAUACAAUAAUUAGCCAUGUGUGGUGGCAUGCGCCUGUAGUCCCAGUUACUGCAGAGGCUGAGGCAGGAGAAUGGCUAGAACCCAGGAGGUGGAGGUUGCAGUGAGCCAAGCUUGUGCCACUGCAAUCCAGCCUGGUGA